rnacentral:rRNA from 1 species
CAGCCGCCACGGGAAUACGUAGGGUGCAAGCGUUAAUCGGAAUUACUGGGCGUAAAGCGUGCGCAGGCGGUUAUAUAAGACAGAUGUGAAAUCCCCGGGCUCAACCUGGGAACUGCAUUUGUGACUGUAUAGCUAGAGUACGGCAGAGGGGGAUGGAAUUCCGCGUGUAGCAGUGAAAUGCGUAGAUAUGCGGAGGAACACCGAUGGCGAAGGCAAUCCCCUGGGCCUGUACUGACGCUCAUGCACGAAAGCGUGGGGAGCAAACAGGAUUAGAUACCCGUGUAGUCCCUGUCUCUUAUAA